AGAAGUAAAAGUCGUAACAAGGGCUCCGUUGGUGAACCAGCGGAGGGAUCAUUACAGGACUCGCAAGACUCCUACAACCCUGUGAACUUAACUAUAAGCACGUUGCUUCGGCGGGUGUCUCGGAGGGGGUUCUCCCUCCCCGAGACGCUAAACCCGCCGGCAGCCUACUAUACUCUGUCUCUUUGCGUUGGCAUCUCGAGUACAAUCAAACAAGUUAAAACUUUCAACAACGGAUCUCUUGGUUCUG
rnacentral:misc_RNA from 1 species